rnacentral:rRNA from 1 species
GACGAACGCUGGCGGCGUGCUUAACACAUGCAAGUCGAACGGAAAGGCCCUGCUUUUGUGGGGUGCUCGAGUGGCGAACGGGUGAGUAACACGUGAGUAACCUGCCCUUGACUUUGGGAUAACUUCAGGAAACUGGGGCUAAUACCGGAUAGGAGCUCCUGCUGCAUGGUGGGGGUUGGAAAGUUUCGGCGGUUGGGGAUGGACUCGCGGCUUAUCAGCUUGUUGGUGGGGUAGUGGCUUACCAAGGCUUUGACGGGUAGCCGGCCUGAGAGGGUGACCGGCCACAUUGGGACUGAGAUACGACCCAGACUCCUACUGGAGGCAGCAGUGCUGAAUAUUCCACAAUGGGCGGAAGCCUGAUGCAGCAACGCCGCGUGCGGGAUGACGGCCUUCGGGUUGUAAACCGCUUUCGCCUGUGACGAAGCGUGAGUGACGGUAAUGGGUAAAGAAGCACCGGCUAACUACGUG